rnacentral:rRNA from 1 species
GACGAACGCUGGCGGCGUGCUUAACACAUGCAAGUCGAACGGAAAGGCCCUGCUUUUGUGGGGUGCUCGAGUGGCGAACGGGUGAGUCACACGUGAGUCACCUGCCCUUGACUUUGGGAUAACUUCAGGAAACUGGGGCUAAUACCGGAUAGGAGCUCCUGCUGCAUGGUGGGGGUUGGAAAGUUUCGGCGGUUGGGGAUGGACUCGCGGCUUAUCAGCUUGUUGGUGGGGUAGUGGCUGACCAAGGCUUUGACGGGUAGCCGGCCUGAGAGGGUGACCGGCCACAUUGGGACUGAGAUACGGCCCAGACGCCUACGGGAGGCAGCGGUGGGGAAUAUAGCACGAUGGGCGGAAGCCUGAUGCAGCAACGCCGCGUGCGGGAUGACGGCCGUCGGGUGGGAAACCGCUUUCGCCUGUGACGAAGCGUGAGUGACGGUAAUGGGUAAAGAAGCACCGGCUAACUACGUG